GGCUAACGCUGGCGGCGUGUCUUAGCCAUGCAAGUCGAGCGGACUUAUGGGGUAACUUAUAAGUCAGCGGCGGACGGCGGAGUAACACGUAGCUAACCUACCCUCUGGACGGGGAUAACCUACCGAAAGGUGGGCUAAUACCCGAUGUAGUCAUCCUGUAUAGGGGUGAUGAAAGGUGGGCUUCUGUUUACAAGCUCAUGCUGGAGGAGGGGGCUGCGGCCUAUCAGGUAGUUGGUAGGGUAAUAGCCUACCAAGCCGAUGACGGGUAGCCGGCCUGAGAGGGUGACCGGCCCGAGGGGCACUGAGAUACGGGUCCCACUCCUACGGGAGGCAGCAGGCUAGAAAUUUGGGCAAUGGGGGAAACCCUGACCCAGUGACGCCGCGUGCAGGAAGGAGCCCUUCGGGGUGUAAACUGCUGUCGUGUAGGGAGAAGGGUACUAAGGUGAACAAGUCUUAGUACUUGACGGUACUACAGGAGGAAGCCCAGGCUAACCUCGUG
rnacentral:rRNA from 1 species